rnacentral:rRNA from 1 species
CACGAACGCUGGCGGCAGGCUUAACACAUGCAAGUCGAGCGCCCCGCAAGGGGAGCGGCAGACGGGUGAGUAACGCGUGGGAAUCUACCCAUCUCUACGGAAUAACGCAUGGAAACGUGUGCUAAUACCGUAUACGUCCUUCGGGAGAAAGAUUUAUCGGAGAUGGAUGAGCCCGCGUUGGAUUAGAUAGUUGGUGGGGUAAAGGCCUACCAAGGCGACGAUCCAUAGCUGGUCUGAGAGGAUGAUCAGCCACACUGGGACUGAGACACGGCCCAGACGCGUACGGGAGGCAGCAGUGGGGAAUAUUGGACAAUGGGCGCAAGCCUGAUCCAGCCAUGCCGCGUGAGUGAUGAAGGCCCUAUGGUUGUAAAGCUCUUUCACCGGUGAAGAUAAUGACGGUAACCGGAGAAGAAGCCCCGGCUAACUUCGUGCCAGCCGCCGCCGCCGUAA